rnacentral:rRNA from 1 species
UGGUGGAGUGAUUUGUCUGGUUAAUUCCGUUAACGAACGAGACCUCGACCUACUAAAUAGUUCGGCAAAUUCUUCGGGAUUUGUUCGUGACUUCUUAGAGGGACUAUUGGUUGGUAACCAAUGGAAGUUCGAGGCAAUAACA